GUUUGAUUCUGGCUCAGAGCGAACGCUGGCGGCGUGGAUAAGACAUGCAAGUCGUGCGGGGGUCUGUGGGUAGCAAUAUUCGCAGACUCUAGCGGCGAAAGGGUGCGUAACACGUGGGCAAUCUGCCGUGAAGUUCGGAAUAACCCCGAGAAAUCGGGAUUAAUACCGGAUGUGAAUGUUUGAGGACAUCCUCGUUCAUUUAAAGCUGGGGACCGUAAGGCCUAGCGCUUCAUGAUGAGCCCGCGGCCUAUCAGCUUGUUGGUGAGGUAACGGCUCACCAAGGCGACGACGGGUAGCUGGUCUGAGAGGACGAUCAGCCACACUGGAACUGAGACACGGUCCAGACACCUACGGGUGGCAGCAGUCGAGAAUCUUUCGCAAUGGCGCAAGCCUGAUGGAGCGACGCCGCGUGGGGGAUGAAUGGCUUCGGUCCGUAAACCCCUGUCAUUUGUGAGCAAAGUUGUCAGCCUAAUAUGUUGACAACCUGAUAGUAGCGAAAGAGGAAGGGACGGCUAACUCUGUGCCAGCAGCCGCGGUAAUACAGAGGUCCCAAGCGUUGUUCGGAUUCACUGGGCGUAAAGAGUGCGUAGGUGGUGAGGUAAGUUUGGUGUGAAAGCUCCGGGCUCAACCUGGAAAGGUCAUCGAAUACUAUCUUACUAGAGGAUCGGAGGGGAGACUGGAAUUCUCGGUGUAGCAGUGAAAUGCGUAGAUAUCGAGAGGAACACCAGUGGCGAAGGCGAGUCUCUGGACGAUUCCUGACACUGAGGCACGAAAGCUAGGGGAGCAAACAGGAUUAGAUACCCUGGUAGUCCUAGCCGUAAACGGUGCACGUCUGCUGUGGGCGGAAUCGACCCCGUCCGUGGCGUAGCUAACGCGUUAAACGUGCCGCCUGGGGAGUACGGUCGCAAGAUUAAAACUCAAAGAAAUUGACGGGGGCCUGCACAAGCGGUGGAGUAUGUGGCUUAAUUCGAUCAACGCGAAGAACCUUACCUGGCCUUGACAUGCAAGUAGUAGAAACCUGAAAGGGUAACGACCCCGCAAGGGGAGCUUGCACAGGUGCUGCAUGGCUGUCGUCAGCUCGUGUCGUGAGAUGUUGGGUUAAGUCCCGCAACGAGCGCAACCCUCGUGUCCUGUUGCCACUUCUGCGAGAGCAGAAAGCACUCUGGACAGACUGCCUCGCUUAAACGGGGAGGAAGGUGGGGAUGACGUCAAGUCAGUAUGGCCCUUACGGCCAGGGCUGCACACGUACUACAAUGCCUGGUACAAUGGGAAGCAAGACCGCAAGGUGGAGCAAAUCCUUAAAACCGGGCUCAGUUCGGAUUGUCGUCUGCAACUCGACGGCAUGAAGUCGGAAUCGCUAGUAAUGGCGCAUCAGCUACGGCGCCGUGAAUACGUUCCCAGGCCUUGUACACACCGCCCGUCACAUCAUGAAAGCCGGCUGUACCCGAAGUCGCUGUGCUAACUGCAAAGAGGCAGGUGCCGAAGGUAUGGCUGGUGAUUGGGAUGAAGUCGUAACAAGGUA
rnacentral:rRNA from 1 species